UACGUAGGUGGCGAGCGUUGUCCGGAUUUACUGGGCGUAAAGGGAGCGUAGGCGGACUUUUAAGUGAGAUGUGAAAUACCCGGGCUCAACUUGGGUGCUGCAUUUCAAACUGGAAGUCUAGAGUGCAGGAGAGGAGAAUGGAAUUCCUAGUGUAGCGGUGAAAUGCGUAGAGAUCGGGAGGAACACCAGUGGCGAAGGCGGCUCUCUGGACAGAUACUGACGCUGAGGCUCUAAAGUUAGGGGAGCAAACAGGAUUAGAUACCCU
rnacentral:rRNA from 1 species